CGUGUACGUACAAGCAGUGGGAGCACCUUUAUGGUGUGACUGCGUACCUUUUGUAUAAUGGGCGGGUGUGACUGCGUACCUUUUGUAUAAUGGGUCAGCGACUUAUAUUCUGUAGCAAGGUUAACCGUAUAGGGGAGCCGCAGGGAAACCGAGUCUUAACUGGGCGUUAAGUUGCAGGGUAUAGACCCGAAACCCGGUGAUCUAGCCAUGGGCAGGUUGAAGGUUGGGUAACACUAACUGGAGGACCGAACCGACUAAUGUUGAAAAAUUAGCGGAUGACUUGUGGCUGGGGGUGAAAGGCCAAUCAAACCGGGAGAUAGCUGGUUCUCCCCGAAAGCUAUUUAGGUAGCGCCUCGUGAACUCAUCUUCGGGGGUAGAGCACUGUUUCGGCUAGGGGGUCAUCCCGACUUACCAACCCGAUGCAAACUACGAAUACCGAAGAAUGUUAUCACGGGAGACACACGGCGGGUGCUAACGUCCGUCGUGAAGAGGGAAACAACCCAGACCGCCAGCUAAGGUCCCAAAGUCAUGGUUAAGUGGGAAACGAUGUGGGAAGGCACAGACAGCCAGGAUGUUGGCUUAGAAGCAGCCAUCAUUUAAAGAAAGCGUAAUAGCUCACUGGUCGAGUCGGCCUGCGCGGAAGAUGUAACGGGGCUAAACCAUGCACCGAAGCUGCGGCAGCGACGCUUAUGCGUUGUUGGGUAGGGGAGCGUUCUGUAAGCCACUUAUGUGUUGUUGGGUAGGGGAGCGUUCUGUAAGCCUGCGAAGGUGGCCUGUGAGGGCUGCUGGAGGUAUCAGAAGUGCGAAUGCUGACAUAAGUAACGAUAAAGCGGGUGAAAAGCCCGCUCGCCGGAAGACCAAGGGUUCCUGUCCAACGUUAAUCGGGGCAGGGUGAGUCGACCCCUAAGGCGAGGCCGAAAGGCGUAGUCGAUGGGAAACAGGUUAAUAUUCCUGUACUUGGUGUUACUGCGAAGGGGGGACGGAGAAGGCUAUGUUAGCCGGGCGACGGUUGUCCCGGUUUAAGCAUGUAGGCGGAGGUUCCAGGUAAAUCCGGUACCUUUUAACGCUGAGGUGUGAUGACGAGGCACUACGGUGCUGAAGUAACAAAUGCCCUGCUUCCAGGAAAAGCCUCUAAGCAUCAGGUAACAUUAAAUCGUACCCCAAACCGACACAGGUGGUCAGGUAGAGAAUACCAAGGCGCUUGAGAGAACUCGGGUGAAGGAACUAGGCAAAAUGGUGCCGUAACUUCGGGAGAAGGCACGCUGGUGUGUAGGUGAAGUCCCUGCGGAUGGAGCUGAGACCAGUCGAAGAUACCAGCUGGCUGCAACUGUUUAUUAAAAACACAGCACUGUGCAAACACGAAAGUGGACGUAUACGGUGUGACGCCUGCCCGGUGCCGGAAGGUUAAUUGAUGGGGUUAUCCGUAAGGAGAAGCUCUUGAUCGAAGCCCCGGUAAACGGCGGCCGUAACUAUAACGGUCCUAAGGUAGCGAAAUUCCUUGUCGGGUAAGUUCCGACCUGCACGAAUGGCGUAAUGAUGGCCAGGCUGUCUCCACCCGAGACUCAGUGAAAUUGAACUCGCUGUGAAGAUGCAGUGUACCCGCGGCAAGACGGAAAGACCCCGUGAACCUUUACUAUAGCUUGACACUGAACAUUGAGCCUUGAUGUGUAGGAUAGGUGGGAGGCUUUGAAGCGUGGACGCCAGUCUGCGUGGAGCCAACCUUGAAAUACCACCCUUUAAUGUUUGAUGUUCUAACGUAGGCCCCUAAUCGGGGUUGCGGACAGUGUCUGGUGGGUAGUUUGACUGGGGCGGUCUCCUCCCAAAGAGUAACGGAGGAGCACGAAGGUUAGCUAAUCCUGGUCGGACAUCAGGAGGUUAGUGCAAUGGCAUAAGCUAGCUUGACUGCGAGCGUGACGGCGCGAGCAGGUGCGAAAGCAGGUCAUAGUGAUCCGGUGGUUCUGAAUGGAAGGGCCAUCGCUCAACGGAUAAAAGGUACUCCGGGGAUAACAGGCUGAUACCGCCCAAGAGUUCAUAUCGACGGCGGUGUUUGGCACCUCGAUGUCGGCUCAUCACAUCCUGGGGCUGAAGUAGGUCCCAAGGGUAUGGCUGUUCGCCAUUUAAAGUGGUACGCGAGCUGGGUUUAGAACGUCGUGAGACAGUUCGGUCCCUAUCUGCCGUGGGCGCUGGAGAAUUGAGGGGGGCUGCUCCUAGUACGAGAGGACCGGAGUGGACGCAUCACUGGUGUUCGGGUUGUCAUGCCAAUGGCACUGCCCGGUAGCUAAAUGCGGAAGAGAUAAGUGCUGAAAGCAUCUAAGCACGAAACUUGCCCCGAGAUGAGUUCUCCCUGAGACUUUAAGUCUCCUGAAGGAACGUUGAAGACGACGACGUUGAUAGGCCGGGUGUGUAAGCGCAGCGAUGCGUUGAGCUAACCGGUACUAAUGAACCGUGAGGCUUAACCUU
rnacentral:rRNA from 1 species